CAACAACCAAAUUUAACAGAGGUUAAGAUAUGCACAACACAGAUAACUAACUAAUCAAAGUGUUGGACAUCCAGUUGGAGAUUCAUAUUGCAUCUCUCUCCUCUCACAAACAAUAUUACAAAAUUGACUUACAGGGGCUCUUAAUCUCAUUCAUUAACACUUAACAGGACGAUGCCUACUUGGAGAAAAUAAAAAGUGAAAUAAGGAGGAAUCAAAUCCUCACCUGAAAUAUAGAACAAAUAUGCACCAUAUAUAAGGCCAUAUUAUUCCAGUAUUAUUCUAAAGUAAAAUAUACAAAAUACCUUUAGAAAUACCUUAAACCUAAAAUGACUGGAACCACACAUCUCUUUCUUCCUCUUACCUUCUUCUCCCUCUAUCCUCUGCUCACUCUGGCCGAUAGCAGCAGCCAUACGCUGCCACCAUCUCCGCCCUCUGCCCCUGAUUCGACUACUCAGCCAACAACACACACACUACACCAAGGAAUCCCCCCUUUUCCUGACUCGGUACAGCAGCAGCGCCCCUACCAAUUGUAUUAGUAAAAAAAAUGCAAAUAAAAAAGAAGUUGUUAGUGCAAGAAGAAUCCAUGUAGAUGCUAUCUUUAACAUCAAAUCUACUACCCAAUAAAUUUCACCAAUCAUUUGCACACAUAUCAAAAUUCAAUUGUAGACUUUCAACGGAUUCACAAGCUGUAGUAUGAAAAUGUCCAGGUUUUAGAACAUAAGGAUAUGAGCUAAAGCAGAGAAACACGAAACUUGAAUCAGUCUUCUGAUGCUUAUGUAGGCCAUGAAGAAACCAAAAAAAAAAUUGAUCUUUAUAUAUUAUCUACACUCUAUGCAAAGGGGAAAGUAUCAAUCCUGUUGGCACUAAAGAGAACGCGGCACCAACAAAAAUCAAGGCAAAAAUGAUGGUAAAAGCCAGCUAUAACAUAAACAAAGCCAACUAUAACAUAAACAAAUAUAAUCAAAAGUUAUCAUUGAUUUACACCACUGACAAUUCAAUAAAGCUUAAUAAAUCUAUAUAACCAAUCAAGAAAAUAAAUCCAAAAGAAAGAAACAACAACUAAAUCCAAUCUGCAACACGGAGAUAAAGGUAAAUUGCGGCGAUCUCAAAACACAUUUGGGAAAAUAAUAAUAUUUUUAAAAAAUAAAUAAUGAAAUUAAGCUUACUUUGAACCAGAACGAAGAGUGGAAGCCACAAAUCACCAUUGAUUGGCUGUAAAACUCUCAUCAUUUGAACUAAUGAAUUUAUAGCUAAAACCUAGAUUAUUAAGUUUCCAUUGUUAAUUUGUAUCUAAAAUUGGCUGCUUAUUGAUUGAUAGGUAAAUCAUAUAAUCGUAUUGCAUAAUGAUUCUUUCCAAAAUUUGUUCUUUCUAAAAUUCACACUAAUCAUUCCAUAUUCAUAAUAAUCAAAUAUAAUCUUUCCUAAUAGAAUACUUACCAUGGCUAAUCAAGAACUGUUUCGGAGCCAAGUAAUGUCCGACGGAUUGACGGCGGUGGUGCCAGACGCAAGGCAGCCAUUGGCGGCAGCGUCGACUUGGGGGUAGGGCUGUUUCGGGAAGAGAGAGCUAGGUGUUGAAACGGGAGGAAGGGGCGGCGACACUGACUUGGGGCCGGACUGCGGUGAAUUGAAGCGAGGGAGGGAGACUCUGGUGUUGAAACGGGGAAAGGAGAAGGGGCGGCGGCGCUGACUUGGGACGGCGAAUCGACACGGGGGAGGGAGAGUCUGUGAAAUUAGGAUUUGGGAAUUUUGGGGGAGAAAGAACCGGUGUGGAAAUGGGGGGGCAGAUCGCGGCGGGGGAAGGGGACGUAGUGGUCCGGCGAAGCAGAUCGCAGCGGUGGGAGGGGCGGGGCGCGGUGGGGGAGUAGAGACGGGAGAGAAGGGGAUGGG
rnacentral:lncRNA from 1 species